rnacentral:rRNA from 1 species
GACGAACGCUGGCGGCGUGCCUAAUACAUGCAAGUAGAACGCUGAAGAGAGGAGCUUGCUCUUCUUGGAUGAGUUGCGAACGGGUGAGUAACGCGUAGGUAACCUGCCUGGUAGCGGGGGAUAACUAUUGGAAACGAUAGCUAAUACCGCAUAAAAUGGAUUAUCGCAUGAUAAUCCAUUGAAAGGUGCAAAUGCAUCAUUACCAGAUGGACCUGCGUUGUAUUAGCUAGUUGGUGGGGUAACGGCUCACCAAGGCGACGAUACAUAGCCGACCUGAGAGGGUGAUCGGCCACACUGGGACUGAGACACGGCCCAGACUCCUACGGGAGGCAGCAGUAGGGAAUCUUCGGCAAUGGACGGAAGUCUGACCGAGCAACGCCGCGUGAGUGAAGAAGGUUUUCGGAUCGUAAAGCUCUGUUGUAAGAGAAGAACGAGUGUGAGAGUGGAAAGUUCACACUGUGACGGUAUCUUACCAGAAAGGGACGGCUAACUACGUGCCAGCAGCCGCGGUAAUACGUAGGUGGCAAGCGUUAUCCGGAUUUAUUGGGCGUAAAGAGAGUGCAGGCGGUUUUCUAAGUCUGAUGUGAAAGCCUUCGGCUUAACCGGAGAAGUGCAUCGGAAACUGGAUAACUUGAGUGCAGAAGAGGGUAGUGGAACUCCAUGUGUAGCGGUGGAAUGCGUAGAUAUAUGGAAGAACACCAGUGGCGAAAGCGGCUACCUGGUCUGCAACUGACGCUGAGACUCGAAAGCAUGGGUAGCGAACAGG